rnacentral:rRNA from 1 species
ACGGGUGAGUAAUACAUCGGAACGUGCCCUGUAGUGGGGGAUAACUAGUCGAAAGAUUAGCUAAUACCGCAUACGACCUGAGGGUGAAAGUGGGGGACCGCAAGGCCUCAUGCUAUAGGAGCGGCCGAUGUCUGAUUAGCUAGUUGGUGAGGUAAAGGCUCACCAAGGCGACGAUCAGUAGCUGGUCUGAGAGGACGAUCAGCCACACUGGGACUGAGACACGGCCCAGACUCCUACGGGAGGCAGCAGUGGGGAAUUUUGGACAAUGGGGGCAACCCUGAUCCAGCAAUGCCGCGUGUGUGAAGAAGGCCUUCGGGUUGUAAAGCACUUUUGUCCGGAAAGAAAUCGCACUUACUAAUAUUAGGUGUGGAUGACGGUACCGGAAGAAUAAGGACCGGCUAACUACGUGCCAGCAGCCGCGGUAAUACGUAGGGUCCAAGCGUUAAUCGGAAUUACUGGGCGUAAAGCGUGCGCAGGCGGUUGUGCAAGGCCGAUGUGAAAUCCCCGGGCUUAACCUGGGAAUUGCAUUGGUGACUGCACGGCUAGAGUGUGUCAGAGGGGGGUAGAAUUCC